UACGUAGGGGCCUAGCGUUGUCCGGAUUUAUUGGGCGUAAAGAGCUCGUAGGCGGUUCGGCAAGUCGGAUGUGAAAUCUCCACGCUUAACGUGGAGGGGCCAUUCGAAACUGCCGUGACUCGAGUCCGGUAGGGGAGUGUGGAAUUCCCGGUGUAGCGGUGAAAUGCGCAGAUAUCAGGAGGAAUACCGGUGGCGAAGGCGGCCUUCUGGACGGUGACUGACGCUGAGACGCGAAAGCGUGGGGAGGCAAACAGG
rnacentral:rRNA from 1 species